AGUGAACGUUGGCGGUAGGCCUAACACAUGCAAGUCGAACGGCAGCACAGUAAGAGCUUGCUCUUACGGGUGGCGAGUGGCGGACGGGUGAGGAAUACAUCGGAAUCUACUUUUUCGUGGGGGAUAACGUAGGGAAACUUACGCUAAUACCGCAUACGACCUACGGGUGAAAGCAGGGGAUCUUCGGACCUUGCGCGAUUGAAUGAGCCGAUGUCGGAUUAGCUAGUUGGCGGGGUAAAGGCCCACCAAGGCGACGAUCCGUAGCUGGUCUGAGAGGAUGAUCAGCCACACUGGAACUGAGACACGGUCCGGACUCCUACGGGAGGCAGCAGUGGGGAAUAUUGGACAAUGGGCGCAAGCCUGAUCCAGCCAUACCGCGUGGGUGAAGAAGGCCUUCGGGUUGUAAAGCCCUUUUGUUGGGAAAGAAAAGCAGCAGGUUAAUACCCCGCUGUUCCGACGGUACCCAAAGAAUAAGCACCGGCUAACUUCGUG
rnacentral:rRNA from 1 species